UGCCAACCAUUACCUGGCAGCUAUUUUCAUUCCAGUGGGUGUCCUUGCAACUUUGGCCCUUCUCACCUUGUUCUGUGUCUGUCGUCCAAGAGAUGAGACAUAUAUAAGGCAAACUAUUGCAAAGCUCUGGAAUGAGGAAGGGCGAGGUGCUUCUCACAAGUCAAGGGAGCCAACUCAUCAGUUCCCCAGAGACUCAUUCAGUACAAAGCAGCAGCCCUCAACACCUUCAGCAGCCAAUCUUGGUCCGGUCCAUGUGCACAAUCCAGGCACAGUCAUCUUUAGCUUGCUCAGUCAAUUUACGGGUCAAGUC